rnacentral:rRNA from 1 species
CGUGCAGGCGGUCAGGUUAGUGGGACGUGAAAUGCCCCGGCUCACCCGGGGACCUGCGUCCCAAACUGCCUGGCUUGAGUAUGGGAGAGGAUGAGGGAAUUCCUGGUGUAGCGGUGAAAUGCGUAGAUAUCAGGAGGAACACCGGUGGCGAAGGCGCUCAUCUGGCCCAAUACUGACGCUGAGGCGCGAAAGCUAGGGGAGCAAACGGGAUUAGAUACCCCGGUAGUCCUAGCCGUAAACGGUGAUCACUAGGUGUUGGAGGCAUAGACCCCUCCAGUGCCGCAGCUAACGCACUAAGUGAUCCGCCUGGGGAUACGGCCGCAAGGUUGAA